rnacentral:rRNA from 1 species
UACGGGGGGGCAAGCGUUGUUCGGAAUUACUGGGCGUAAAGGGCUCGUAGGCGGCCAACUAAGUCAGACGUGAAAUCCCUCGGCUUAACCGGGGAACUGCGUCUGAUACUGGAUGGCUUGAAUCCGGGAGAGGGAUGCGGAAUUCCAGGUGUAGCGGUGAAAUGCGUAGAUAUCUGGAGGAACACCGGUGGCGAAGGCGGCAUCCUGGACCCGGCAUUGACGCUGAGGAGCGAAAGCCAGGG